rnacentral:rRNA from 1 species
GACGAACGCUGGCGGCGUGCCUAAUACAUGCAAGUAGAACGCACAGUUUAUACCGUAGCUUGCUACACCAUAAACUGUGAGUUGCGAACGGGUGAGUAACGCGUAGGUAACCUGCCUGGUAGCGGGGGAUAACUAUUGGAAACGAUAGCUAAUACCGCAUAAUAUUAAUUAUUGCAUGAUAAUUGAUUGAAAGAUGCAAUUGCAUCACUACCAGAUGGACCUGCGUUGUAUUAGCUAGUAGGUGAGGUAACGGCUCACCUAGGCGACGAUACAUAGCCGACCUGAGAGGGUGAUCGGCCACACUGGGACUGAGACACGGCCCAGACUCCUACGGGAGGCAGCAGUAGGGAAUCUUCGGCAAUGGACGAAAGUCUGACCGAGCAACGCCGCGUGAGUGAAGAAGGUUGUCGGAUCGUAAAGCUCUGUUGUAAGAGAAGAGCGGGUGUGAGAGUGGAAAGUUCACACUGUGACGGUAGCUUACCAGAAAGGGACGGCUAACUACGUG